AGUCAGUUGACUUACAAGCAGCAGCUCCCCAUCCGCCCGCGCUCCUUCUCCCCAGCCCCGCUCCCCACCAGGGCGUCACUAAAACCGACGGCCUCCUUCGGGGUCCCACCCUGGACGGGGAAGGCCGGGCCGCCCGGUGCAUGGCCCAGUGUGUCCACCAGGUGGCAACCGAGCACCGCACUUCUGAGGUCGGCGUGGGAGGCCAGGGGCGGGCCGCUCAGCCACUGACAGGGGCCUGAGGGGACCCUGCCCUUUCUGCUUUAUCCAAGAAGCCAGUGACCUCGUCUGUAAAAUGGGGACACCUACCUCCUGGGGCCGUUUUGAGGGUUCUGAGAAGUAACGGGUGGAAGGUGCUUGGCGCAGAGCCUGGGGCACAGUAAGCACUCG